CAGUCGCCACGGGAAUACGGAGGGUGCAAGCGUUACUCGGAAUCACUGGGCGUAAAGGACGCGUAGGCGGAUUAUCAAGUCUCUUGUGAAAUCUAACGGCUUAACCGUUAGACUGCUUGGGAAACUGAUAAUCUAGAGUAAGGGAGAGGCAGAUGGAAUUCUUGGUGUAGGGGUAAAAUCCGUAGAUAUCAAGAAGAAUACCUAUCGCGAAGGCGAUCUGCUGGAACUUAACUGACGCUAAUGCGUGAAAGCGUGGGGAGCAAACAGGAUUAGAGACCCCAGUAGUCCCUGUCUCUUAUAC
rnacentral:rRNA from 1 species